rnacentral:lncRNA from 1 species
UUUAAAGUUCAUAGAUUUUGGAAAUUUAAAAUUUGCAAAUAACUCCAGAUGUUGACAUGGUCUAUCCAAAGUCGUAGCUAUCAACUCAAUCUACAACUUGUAGUUCAAAAGAUACUUAUUUGAAAUCAUCUAGAGUGUCAAAUAUGUGUGUUCUAAGUUCACAUAGUUAAUACGAAAGUUACUUAUUCAGAAUUCCUAUAAACAACAUUGAAUGUUCACAUUUAAUACGAAAGUUGUGGUGGCUGAUCUGAUCUAUAUAUUUGAUAUGGAUAAUUUUUCAAUUUGAAGUUCUUUAUUGUCUCAAAAUAUUUGUUUCAGGUUCAAAUAUUUUGAUAUUUAAAUUUUUGAUUUUUUCAAAAAAUCUCCACUAGAGACACAUCCUAUACCUAAGUUGUCGUACAUUACAAGAGUUUCAACUUAGUAGUUGAAACUUUUUAUAUAUGUUUGAGUUCAUAAAGUAGCCGGUUAAGUUGUCGUACAUUACACGAAGUUCAUACGGUUUGGCAGAGAUGGACGUGCUGCUCGCCUCCAUUCAGAGAAAGUGCCAGAGUCUGAAAAUACUUCGUGUAGUGGUGAUAUGUAAAAAAUAUUUUCGCAGGCACUACCUUAUGCGAGACCUUUGGAAAAGACGCCUGUAUUUUUGGUCUUCAUGAAUUGUACCUCUCCAUUCAUAAUUUGAGUUUUCCAUUGAAAAGUUAUGUACCUCUUCAUGAAUUGUACCUCUCCAUUCAUGAAGUGUAUAUUUUUGAACAUAGAGAGUAACAUCUUAAAUAAG